AGAGUUUGAUCAUGGCUCAAGGAUGAACGCUAGCGGCAGGCCUAACACAUGCAAGUCGAGGGGCAGCACGGGUAGCAAUACUUGGUGGCGACCGGCGCACGGGUGAGUAACGCGUAUGCAACCUACCCAUAACUGGGGGAUAGCCCGGAGAAAUUCGGAUUAACACCGCAUAAUAUUAUUGAACUGCAUGGUUUAAUAUUAAAAUAUUUAUAGGUUAUGGAUGGGCAUGCGUGACAUUAGCUAGUUGGUGAGGUAACGGCUCACCAAGGCGACGAUGUCUAGGGGGCCUGAGAGGGUAGUCCCCCACACUGGUACUGAGACACGGACCAGACUCCUACGGGAGGCAGCAGUGAGGAAUAUUGCGCAAUGGACGAAAGUCUGACGCAGCCAUGCCGCGUGCAGGAUGACGGCCCUAUGGGUUGUAAACUGCUUUUGUUUAGGAAGAAACUCAGCUACGUGUAGCUGACUGACGGUACUAUAUGAAUAAGCAUCGGCUAACUCCGUGCCAGCAGCCGCGGUAAUACGGAGGAUGCAAGCGUUAUCCGGAUUUAUUGGGUUUAAAGGGUGCGUAGGCGGGGCUUUAAGUCAGUGGUGAAAUCUUGCAGCUUAACUGUAAAAUUGCCAUUGAUACUGAAGUUCUUGAGUGCGGUUGAAGUAGGCGGAAUGUGUAAUGUAGCGGUGAAAUGCUUAGAGAUUACACAGAACACCGAUUGCGUAGGC
rnacentral:rRNA from 1 species